CAAGUUCUUAUCUCCUUAUUUUCUUCAGAUAAGUAAUCUUAUUCUAUAAAUUGUUUGCUACGUCUUUUUUCUUUUGUAAGAGUUAAGACUUGAAAAUCCAUUUAUGUGUCAGUUAUUCCUGGUUCAGAUUUUUGUAUGGACCUAUAUUGUGGGAUGAUAAUAUUUUCUCUUGUCCUAUAUAGACUUUCUAAUUUUGGAUUUAUAAAAGAAGUAGAACUUUUUGGUAAUUCUAUUAUAGGUCUUGUAGAUGAUUUUAUUUCAGAAUCAUCUUUACUGUUAUUUCUUCUAUUGUUGGUAAAUUGAAUUUCUAUUUUACCAUUAGAAUUUUCUAGUAUUCUUUCUGGAAUAUUGUUUAUUAUUGGGACUUGGUAUUGAUGAUUUUCAUUGUAGAUCGACCAUGAUUCGGGUAGAGUAAUUUCUGACCAUUCUAUGGCUUUUGGUAUAAUAGUACUAGAUUUUUCAAUAUUGGUUUGAAAAAAUAUUGUUUUUCCCCUUGUAUCAUGU
rnacentral:lncRNA from 1 species